ACCUGGUUGGCUCAGUAGGCAGAGCAUGAGUUUCCUGAUCUCAGGGUCAUGAGUUCAAGCCCCAUGUUGAGCA
rnacentral:tRNA from 1 species